AAUAGAUACCCCGGUAGUCCACGCCGUAAACGAUGAGUGCUAGAUAUCGGGAGUUUUUCUUUCGGUUUCGUAGUUAACACGUUAAGCACUCCGCCUGGGGAGUACGAUCGCAAGAUUAAAACUCAAAGGAAUUGACGGGGGCUCGCACAAGUGGUGGAGCAUGCGGUUUAAUUCGAUGCUACGCGAAAAACCUUACCAACCCUUGACAUGGUGAUCGUAGGUUACAGAAAUGUAACCGUCAGUUCGGCUGGAUCACACACAGGUGUUGCAUGGCUGUCGUCAGCUCGUGUCGUGAGAUGUUGGGUUAAGUCCCGCAACGAGCGCAACCCUCAUCCUUAUUUGCCAGCGGUUAGGCCGGGAACUAUAAGGAAACUGCCGGUGAUAAGCCGGAGGAAGGUGGGGAUGAUGUCAAGUCAUCAUGGCCCUUACGGGGUUGGGCUACACGCGUGCUACAAUGGUACUUACAGAGGGAAGCAAGACGGCGACGUGGAGCAAAUCCCUAAAAAGUAUCUCAGUUCGGAUUGCUCUCUGCAACUCGAGAGC
rnacentral:rRNA from 1 species